GCAAACUUGGUCAUUUAGAGGAAGUAAAAGUCGUAACAAGGUUUCCGUAGGUGAACCUGCGGAAGGAUCACUAAAGAUUUAGUCCAAUAACUCUAAAUCCUACUCACCUCGUGUGCAACCUUUAGCAAGUUUGAUAUCCUUGGAGAGAUCAUCUUGCGUGAACUCUCCAAGGAGGUUAUCACGAUCAAUGUAUUUUUUCUUUACUUUUCUAUGUCUAAAUAAAUAAAUGUAAUUGAAACAACUUUCAACAACGGAUCUCUUGGCUCUCGCAUCGAUGAAGAACGCAGC
rnacentral:misc_RNA from 1 species